GAUGAACGCUGGCGGCGUGCCUAAUACAUGCAAGUCGAGCGAACAGACGAGGAGCUUGCUCCUCUGACGUUAGCGGCGGACGGGUGAGUAACACGUGGAUAACCUACCUAUAAGACUGGGAUAACUUCGGGAAACCGGAGCUAAUACCGGAUAAUAUAUUGAACCGCAUGGUUCAAUAGUGAAAGACGGUUUUGCUGUCACUUAUAGAUGGAUCCGCGCCGCAUUAGCUAGUUGGUAAGGUAACGGCUUACCAAGGCAACGAUGCGUAGCCGACCUGAGAGGGUGAUCGGCCACACUGGAACUGAGACACGGUCCAGACUCCUACGGGAGGCAGCAGUAGGGAAUCUUCCGCAAUGGGCGAAAGCCUGACGGAGCAACGCCGCGUGAGUGAUGAAGGUCUUCGGAUCGUAAAGCUCUGUUAUUAGGGAAGAACAAAUGUGUAAGUACCUAUGCACGUCUUGACGGUACCUAAUCAGAAAGCCACGGCUAACUACGUG
rnacentral:rRNA from 1 species